CUUUGACCUUAGUGGAAUCAGGUAUGUGAUCUGAUUAGUUGACUUAGUCGACUGCCAACGUAAACAGAGGGCGGGGCUUCACCGCCAAAGGCCCAUUGGAGACCUGAUACUACCUGAAGGAAGAAGAAACAACAGGAGUAUGCAGUCUAUCUUUUACUACACUUCUAUGACUCCUUCUUUGUAUAUCUGAGAAUGUAGCUCUGUCCUCGGGAUCUCUUCACUGUGCUGGAGCGGAGGCAUCAGCAGCACCUUGAUCUCUGUGCGGCUCUAAGUCCAGGGUUGAUUCUCCCGAUAAGCUGUCCAGAGCAAUUGGAGAAGAUGAUCUGCAGGAUCCUGCUGCUCAUCAUCCUCACCUCAUGUGUCUCUGCAUCACUUGCAGUGAAUGUGACAAAGACCUAUCAGGCAGAGGAGAAUGGGAUUGUCAACCUGGAGUGGACGUUCAUAAUGGCAGCUAAUAACCCCUCCAAUUUGUUUUCCAUUAUCUGUGAAAAGGAAGAAAAUGAUAAAGCCUCAGUCUUGUAUCAUGUUCGUCAUGGUGUUGAGGUGUCAGAUAUUCAGGAUGAAAGGUUUUCAGGACGAGUCCAGAGUGACAAAGACGCCCUCAGAGAAGGACGAAUCAGACUUCAACUGUCCAGACUCAGGACUGAUGACUCGGGUCUGUACCUGUGUGAAGUGAGCACGGGUUAUCGCUUUCAGGUUGAGAGCUGUCGACUCAAUGUCACUGCAGGAGCUGUUCAUUCCCUACACAAAAGAUCAUUUUGGAGUCCUCAAUCAGACAGAUGGGAAAGGACCACCCUCUACCCUUUACUAGGAAUGGCACCUGUACUGGUAAUACUCUUCUCUGCCUUCAGACGCCAUAAAAGACUCAGAAGGCAUUGCAUUUUUAUGUAGGUGUUUAAAACGUUUUGUGGAGUGCAUACUUUUCUCUGCACAACCAGCCAGACCUGUUUUGUCUUCUCCUACUAUCUUUAUGUACUGACACAAACUAAAAUACCUUGAGAGGAGUGUUGUGAUUCGGUAAUAGAUAAAUAAAACUGAACUACACUGAGUUAAAACCAGGACUAAGAGGACUCUGUUGGAGCCAUUUCUAUCAGCCUCAGUUGUCAGAGCGUUAGUCUGAAACUCAAGUGAGAAAACCUGAAGACAAUCCACCCAAGACUGUGUGAAUGUUUGAAGUGUCAGGAAGUGUGAGUUUAAAUUUUGUCAUUGUGUCAGUAUCAUAUUUAACACUUUGAAUUUCAGUAUAACUUGACAAUAACUUAAAUAUGAGCAACUCUUUUCCUUCCUAAAAAUAUUGGGUGAGUGUGUGAGCUGAGAAGAGCUGUCAGCAGGUCACACAGUAACCGUAACUGGAUCACAUGACCCAGUUUCUUUUUCUUUUUUGUCCUGUAUUCCAUUUAAUGAUAUUUAUUAAAGUCAGUAUUGUGUAUAUUGUAAGAUUCAGACUAAUUAAAGACACUUCUGUGCUUUUUGAGUCUC
ensembl:lncRNA